AACUACAGGACAUGAAGGAAGCUCUGGAGGAAAAGAGCCGUGAAGCGGAUGAGAGUAUGGACCGAUUUUGCAGCUUCAUGGUCAAAGUUCACAAGCUGGAAGAGACCAAUGAAAGCCUCAAGAACCAGCUCAAGCUGUUGAGCACCCAGACAAAGACCCCCAAGAACAGGAGGUCCCUCAGGUCCGAGAAGAGUGACCCGGAAAAAAAUAAAGCAGUGGAAGACAAAGCAAAUGUGCCAGCAUGAAAGAGACCGAUGAGAGCAGCUGAUGACACUCCUAACAAAGCACAGGAAGCCCUGUACAGUAUCACCAAGAGACUGAAAGCUGCAGCUGCCACACCUAGAGCCACACUAGAUGAUGAGGAUUUCAGACCAGAGGGUUUGCCUCAGCUGGUUCAGAAAGUGAAUGUACACAUGUACAUCACUUCUUUUUGAACAGGUUUUGCAGAUAUUCCAGUUGGGGAGAUGAGCCCAUUCAUUAUUCGCAGGACCGCAGUGCAGCGCUGUAGCCCUCGUCCGGCCGCCCAGAAGACUGCAGCACAGCAGAGCUCAGUUUUAGCAGAACGGCCUUAGCAAAUCUCGCAACAGACAGCAGAGGGCAGAAUGUCAAAAACUGUCCAGGUGCCUAAGGCGAUCCGGAGCAAUGCUGCUGUAUUAUCUCCACUCACCAACAGUCCACAGGAAAACAGCUGUGAAAGCCCAGCGCCUGCUACAGAGCAGAAAACAAGCAGGAGCUCUCGCAGCUUCAAGAAGGAACCGAUCAGUGCGUCUCCAAA